GACGAACGCUGGCGGCGUGCUUAACACAUGCAAGUCGAACGGAAAGGCCCUGCUUUUGUGGGGUGCUCGAGUGGCGAACGGGUGAGUAACACGUGAGUAACCUGCCCUUGACUUUGGGAUAACUUCAGGAAACUGGGGCUAAUACCGGAUAGGAGCUCCUGCUGCAUGGUGGGGGUUGGAAAGUUUCGGCGGUUGGGGAUGGACUCGCGGCUUAUCAGCUUGUUGGUGGGGUAGUGGCUUACCAAGGCUUUGACGGGUAGCCGGCCUGAGAGGGUGACCGGCCACAUUGGGACUGAGAUACGGCCCAGACUCCUACGGGAGGCAGCAGUGGGGAAUAUUGCACAAUGGGCGGAAGCCUGAUGCAGCAACGCCGCGUGCGGGAUGACGGCCUUCGGGUUGUAAACCGCUUUCGCCUGUGACGAAGCGUGAGUGACGGUGAUGGGUAAAGAAGCACCGGCUAACUACGU
rnacentral:rRNA from 1 species